rnacentral:rRNA from 1 species
UACGUAGGGUGCGAGCGUUAAUCGGAAUUACUGGGCGUAAAGCGUGCGUAGGCGGUUUCUCAAGUCCGCUGUGAAAUCCCCGGGCUCAACCUGGGAAUGGCAGUGGAAACUAGGAGACUUGAAUCUGGCAGAGGGGGGUGGAAUUCCACGUGUAGCAGUGAAAUGCGUAGAGAUGUGGAGGAACACCGAUGGCGAAGGCAGCCCCCUGGGCUGAGAUUGACGCUCAGGCACGAAAGCGUGGGGAGCAAACAGG